rnacentral:tRNA from 1 species
GGUUAUGGCUCAGUGGUAGAGCGCUCGCCUCACACAUGCAAGGCCCUGGGUUCAAUCCUCAGCACCA